rnacentral:rRNA from 1 species
CUGUAGCUAAUACCGCGUAGAAUCGAGAGAUGAAAGUGUGGGACCUUCGGGCCACAUGCCAUAGGAUGAGCCCAAGUGGGAUUAGGUAGUUGGUGAGGUAAAGGCUCACCAAGCCGACGAUCUCUAGCUGGUCUGAGAGGAUGACCAGCCACACUGGGACUGAGACACGGCCCAGACUCCUACGGGAGGCAGCAGUGGGGAAUAUUGCGCAAUGGGGGCAACCCUGACGCAGCCAUGCCGCGUGAAUGAAGAAGGCCUUCGGGUUGUAAAGUUCUUUCGGUAGCGAGGAAGGCAUUUAGUUUAAUAAACUAGGUGAUUGACGUUAACUACAGAAGAAGCACCGGCUAACUCCGUG